CACGUAGGGGGCAAGCGUUGUCCGGAUUUAUUGGGCGUAAAGAGCUCGUAGGCGGUUCGGUAAGUCGGGUGUGAAACCUCCAGGCUCAACCUGGAGUCGCCACUCGAUACUGCUGUGACUAGAGUCCGGUAGGGGAGCGUGGAAUUCCUGGUGUAGCGGUGAAAUGCGCAGAUAUCAGGAGGAACACCAGCGGCGAAGGCGGCGCUCUGGGCCAAUACUGACGCUCAUGCACGAAAGCGUGGGGAGCAAACAGG
rnacentral:rRNA from 1 species